GCGCGCUCCCCCCGCGUCCACGCGCCCGUGAGCCACCCCGGACCCUACCCGCCCCCCCGGGGUCGCAGCCCCCUGGAACCGCUCUGUGCACUUCCCCCGCAUCCCUGCGCCCUUCAUCCCUGCCCCGCGUCCAGGAGCCACCCCGCCACGGAGCCCCCUUCCCCCCUGGAACCGCUCUGUGCGCUCCCCCCGCAUCCCUGCGCCCCGCAUCCCUGCCCCGCGCCGCGGACCCCCCACCCCCGUCGCAGCCCCCUGGAAAGCCGUGCCCGCACCCCCGAGGCACCCCUCCGCUCUGUGCGCUCCCCCCAUCCCUGCCCCGCGUCCCCAAGCCACCCCUCCGCGGAGCUCCCCCCUCCCCGGGGUCGCAGCCACCUGGAAAGCUGUGUGGGCUCCCCCCGCAUCCCCGCGCCCCGCGCCCCCAAGCCACCCCGGUCCCCGCCCCGCCCCGCAGGCCCUGCACCCCGAGCGGUCCGGCCGCGCUGAGCCACCGGGGUACCGCGUCCGAGGGCCUGGGCCAGGGCGGGCGCAGCCUGCAUCCUUCACCCCGCACUGCGAGGCCGUCGGCCCGCUAGGGUCAGGAUCCCAACCACAGGCAUGACAGCACUGACGUCGGGAACAGGGAAGCGCCUUGCUCAGGGCCAGGCAACCAGCGCGCGGGGCGCCCGGGCCAGGAGAUCCACGGCAGAACACUCCACGCGCGGAAAGCGUCUCGGACCCGGUGUCUCCAGGGGCAGGGCGCAUUUCCCGAGUCGGAGCUUCGGGAGCCCCGCGGGGCGGAGUCGGGGUGCGGCGCCCUGGCCCUGCCACCUGGGGCCAAGGGAGAGCUGGGGACCCCCUGGCCGCCUCCCCGCCUCCCGCAAGCCUGUUGCACAGGCCCAGGGAAUCUCCACCCAAAGCAAGCAGGCGGCGGGGGCUGCUCUGCGGCGGCCCAGGUCCCCGGCGCCUUUGCAGCUCAAGCAGCAGCGCGCAGGCAAGUGUCUCCUCCGCACGUUCCUGCUUUUCCAUAUGGGAUCGCGCAGGUUUCCAGUGCAAAUCAGCUGUCGGUGGCCCGACCCCCCGACUUUCACCAGCACAAAUUUAGGAAGCGGCUUGGCUUCCUUCAGUCAAAAGCAGUGAGAAAUAACAAAAGCGAAAGGUUGUGGUCCUGCGGCGCUGGAGCAGGCGAGCCAGAGGUCUAGGAGCCUGUCUGCGGCCAGGAGAGCGCCUUCUCCGGGCACCUUGCUGCACCCCCCUGAGAACUGGCUUCCCAAGAGCGCCGCGUGGGAACUCACCCAUGAAGACCCCCCCUCUGUCCCUUGCUUCAAAAAAUCACAAUAAUUGAACUGAGUUCUGAAUUUCUUCAGCGCGGUGUUAGCGUGUUUGCAACGGAGAGCGUGCACUGCAAUAGACGAGCGCCCAGUGUGCACCUUGUUUUCUUAAGUGUUGACGGGUGGGGGAUAGGAACAGCACAGUGUGCCCCUCAGGUGGCCGACCCAGUGCCCAGUACCGGGUAAGCGAUAAUUUCUGAAAGAACCUGGGGUGUGGGCCGCGGGGCCGCGGGGCCUCGGGCCUGUUGAGCUGCGGGGCUGCAGGGCCGCGGGGCUGCUGAGAUGCGGGGCUGCUGAGCUGCAGGGCCUCGGAGCUGCGGGGCUGCUGAGAUGCUGAGCUAUGGAGCUGCUUAGCUGUGGGACUGCAGGGCUGCGGGGUUGCUUAGCUGCCAGGCAGCGUAGCUGCGGGACCUCAGGGCUGUGGGGCUGCUGGGCUGCUGAGAUGCGGGACUGCGGGGUGCGGGGCUGCGGGGCUGCGAGGUUAGCGGGGCUGCGGAGCUGCAGGGCUGCCGGGUUGCGGGGCUGCAGGGCUGCUGAGCUGUGGGGCUGUUGAGCUGCAGGGCUGCGGGGCUGCUGAGCUGCUGAGCUGCAGGGCUGCAGGGCUGCUGAGAUGCUGAGCUAUGGGGCUGCUGAGCUGCGGGGCUGCGGGGCUGCUGAGCUGCGGGGCUGUGGAGCUGCUGAGCUGCGGGACCUCAGGGCUGUGGGGCUGCUGGGAUGCUGAGAUGUGGGACUGCGGGGUUAGCGGAGCUGCAGGGCUGUGAGGUGCAGGGCUGCGGGGCUGCGGGGUUAGCGGUGCUGUGGAGCUGCAGGACUGCGGGGUUGCGGGGCUGCUGAGCUGCAGAGCUGCUGAGUUGCAGGGUGCAGGGCUGCGGGGCUGCUGAGCUGCGGGGCUGCAGAGAGCAGGGCUGCGGGGUUGCGGGCUGCAGGGCUGCUGAGCUGCAGAGCUGCUGAGCUGCAGGGUGCAGGGCUGUGGGGUUAGCGGGGCUGUGGAGCUUCAGGGCUGCGGGGCUGCAGGGUGCGGGUUGCAGGGCUGUGGGCUGCUGAGUUGCAGGGUGCAGGGCUGCGGGGCUGCUGAGCUGCAGGGCUGCAGGGAGCAGGGCUGUGGGGUUGCGGGGUGCAGGGCUGCGGGGCUGCUGAGCUGCUGAGUUGCAGGGAGCAGGGCUGUGGGGUUGCGGGGUGCAGGGCUGCGGGGCUGCAGGGCUGCUGAGCUGCAGGGUGCAGGGCUGCGGGGUUGCGGGGUGCCGGGCUGCGGUGCUGCAGGGCUGCGGGGCUGCUGAGCUGCGGGCUGCAGGGCUGCGGUGCGGGCCGGCGGCGGCGUCAGGAACCCCGACAGGUGGAGCGGGGGCGGGCGGGGCUGCGGGCGGCCUGCGAUUCCCGAGAGCCGGGCGCCACCCAGCGGAAGCGGGAGGGAGUCGGGCCUCUCGGGCGCGGGCCCCGGGAGCCGGGCGGGCGAGGUCGGGGUUCCCCGCCUGCGUGCGCGGCCUUCCCGGAGCCCCCGACAGCAGGUCCCGCCGCCCCGGGCGAGGCCGCUGGCUCCCCCGCACGCACCAGCCGGCGGGCAGGCCGGGGCGGGGGUCCUGCAGGGAGGCCAAGCGCAGGGCGGAGGACGGGGCCACGCGGGCCGCGCUCAGCAUCCGCAGAGGUUUUUGGCGCGAGUCCCUGAUUCCGAGAGGCUGCGGGAUGGCCUGACGCGGCCUGUCCGGCUGCUUUCUUCUCCGGGGCGCGCCCCUCCCGCCCGGCCCGCCUGGUGUGCGAGGAUGGUGUUUGAAAGGGAGGAAGCAUUCCUGAAGUGCUGGGUGAUGGAUUGUCUAAACCCUUCUGGGACGCCCUGGGCGGGGCGCUUGGAGGCAGCUCAUCAAUAAAGACCCCCCUGGAGAGGCGAGGGGUGGCCGGGCGGGGCCCCCACCGCGCAGCCCGAGGAAGCGGGGCCGGGAGGGAGCUCGCGCAGGGGAAGGGCAGCGGGGAAGGCGCGCAGGUCAGCGCCGGGCAGGUGGGGCUUGCUUCUUGCCUGGACCCCGGCCACGGAAGCACUUUAGGCUUGGAGGCCGCGGGGGGAUUCACUGGGGGGCGGGAGGGCUGGCAGGAGAAAGGCUGGUGGGCUCCCCCUCCCGGGGGUAGGGGAGCAGGAGGGGAAGCAGGGGCGCAGAGGCACCAGCGGCCCUCCUGCUGCUCCAGCCUUCUCCAGGCCCCUGCGAGAAUCCAUCAGUCCGUCUCCCAAACUGCAGGGCGGACGGAGGCGCCGGGCAGAGGACGCGGCCCAAGCCAUCCCGAGGGUCUCAGGAGGUCAACACUUGGACCAGGCCAAGGACAGGCCACAGCCUCUGACGCUGAAAAGCCCCAUUCUUUGUCCUGGGCAGCAGUCUCCCGAGAUACCCCAUGCAGGGUCGUGGAGGCCCCAUACACGGCUCCUCUGGGGUCCCCUCUAAGAGGAGGCGUCCUGGGGUUGGGGACGCCCGUGGGGAACCUGGCGGCUAGCUCCUUGGGAAGGCCAGCUUGCAGAGGCGGCUUCUGGGCCUCUUUGGAGGACUGCAGGCGGCCUCCGCUGGCCCCGAGAGCCCCUCUCCUGCUCGCAGGGUCCCCUCCCCUGUCCCGGCACCGACAACCACUGGCUGUCCCCUCACGACAGCCUUGGGGGCCCUUCGCCCUCCGUGGCCUAGAGCUGCCCCCCUCCCUACCCAGGGUCCCGUCGCCUCCCAGAGCACAGACCGCCCGCAGGCCUGGAGGAGGGGUGGGGGUGCUGGGGGACGGAUGAGAGGCUGAGAGGGAGGGCUCCCGAAAAGUAGCUCCUCCAAGGCGGCGUCUGGGCGCCCGAGGUCCCCAGUCGGGCUCCGGGCGCCGAGCACGUUUUAUUUAUCCUCACAGAGGAUGCUGGAGGACAAAAGAAAUAUUUGGACGUCAGCGCUGAUUUAUAUUUUUGGAAGAGCUACGUUUCCUUUUCUGAAGAGAAGCAAGCGCCCCAUAUCCUGAGCCCAGCAGGGAGGACAGGAGGGGAGUUUUGAUGCUCCAGGAAGUCCAUCCCUCCCGGCUCCUCGGGCAAGGCCCGGCGCCCCGCGGGGCUCGCUGCCCUCCGGGUUACUUAUUUGGGGGUAAG
rnacentral:lncRNA from 1 species